GUAGGUGGCAAGCGUUGUCCGGAAUUAUUGGGCGUAAAGCGCGCGCAGGCGGUUCUUUAAGUCUGAUGUGAAAGCCCACGGGCUCAACCGUGGAGGGUCAUUGGAAACUGGAGAACUUGAGUACAGAAGAGGAAAGCGGAAUUCCACGUGUAGCGGUGAAAUGCGUAGAGAUGUGGAGGAACACCAGUGGCGAAGGCGGCUUUCUGGUCUGUAACUGACGCUGAGGCGCGAAAGCGUGGGGAGCAAACAGGAUUAGAUACCCUGGUAGUCCACGCCGUAAACGAUGAGUGCUAAGUGUUAGGGGGUCUCCGCCCCUUAGUGCUGCAGCUAACGCAUUAAGCACUCCGCCUGGGGAGUACGGCCGCAAGGCUG
rnacentral:rRNA from 1 species